rnacentral:rRNA from 1 species
AUUGAACGCUGGCGGCAGGCCUAACACAUGCAAGUCGAACGAGCGGCGGACGGGUGAGUAAUGUAUGGGGAUCUGCCUGAUGGAGGGGGAUAACUACUGGAAACGGUGGCUAAUACCGCAUACUAUCGGAUGUGCCCAUAUGGGAUUAGCUAGUAGGUGGGGUAAAGGCUCACCUAGGCGACGAUCCCUAGCUGGUCUGAGAGGAUGAUCAGCCACACUGGGACGGAGACACGGCCCAGACUCCUACGGGAGGCAGCAGUGGGGAAUAUUGCACAAUGGGCGAAAGCCUGAUGCAGCCAUGCCGCGUGUAUGAAGAAGGCCUUAGGGUUGUAAAGUACUUUCAGCGGGGAGGCGUUACCCGCAGAAGAAGCACCGGCUAACUCCGUGCCAGCAGCCGCGGUAAUAC